UGAAUUCUGUUGUGUUGUAGAUCG
rnacentral:siRNA from 1 species